AAACUGGUUGAUCCUGCCAGUAGUCAUAUACUUGUCUCAGAGAUUAAGCCAUGCGUGUCUAAGUACAUACCUUAAAACGGUGAAACCGCGAAUGGCUCAUAAAAUCAGCUAUGGUUCCUUAGAUCAUAUUUGCCACAUGGAUAACUGUAGUAAUUCUAGAGCUAAUACAUGCAAUUAUGCCCUGACCCGCAAGGGAACGGGUGCAUUUAUUAGAACAGAACCAACUGAAAGGCAGUUUCGACUCUCUCUGUUGAAUUCUGUGAUGACUCUGGAUAACCUUAAUGAUCGCAGACGGCAUUGUGUCGGCGACGGAACUUUCAAAUGUCUGCCCUAUCAAUUUGUUGGUAGGUGAUCUGCCUACCAUGAUAAUAACGGGUAACGGGGAAUCAGGGUUCGAUUCCGGGGAGGGAGCCUGAGAAAUGGCUACCAUAUCCAGGGACGGCAGCAGGCACGAAAAUUACCCACUCCCGGCACGGGGAGGUAGUGACAGAAAAUGCGAAUAAGGGACUCAGUUGAGGAUCCGUAAUUCGAAUGAGUACAAUUUAAAUCCUUUAACGAGGACCAAUUGGAGGGCCAGUCUGGUGCCAGCAGCCGCGGUAACUCCAGCUCCAGNNNNNNNNNNUCCUUUAACGAGGACCAAUUGGAGGGCCAGUCUGGUGCCAGCAGCCGCGGUAACUCCAGCUCCAAAAGCGUAUAUUAAAGUCGCUGCAGUUAAAAAGCUCGUAGUUGAACCUGGGUUGUGCGGUCGCGUGCCGUUGCUUGUUCGCGGUUUUGGUUACGAUCAGAACUUGUGUUCGGCUCGGUGUAGUGGUUG
rnacentral:ncRNA from 1 species